rnacentral:rRNA from 1 species
GGACCUGACUGCUAUCGGAUUGAUACUAAGCCAUGCGAGUCAUUGUAGCAAUACAAGGCAUACGGCUCAGUAACGCGUAGUCAACCUAACCUAUGGACGGGAAUAACCUCGGGAAACUGAGAAUAAUGCCCGAUAGAACAUUAUGCCUGGAAUGGUUUAUGUUCCAAAUGAUUUAUCGCCGUAGGAUGGGACUGCGGCCUAUCAGUUUGUUGGUGAGGUAAUGGCCCACCAAGACUAUUACAGGUACGGGCUCUGAGAGGAGUAGCCCGGAGAUGGGUACUGAGACACGGACCCAGGCCCUAUGGGGCGCAGCAGGCGAGAAAACUUUGCAAUGUGCGAAAGCACGACAAGGUUAAUCCGAGUGGUUUCUGCUAAAGAAACCUUUUGUCAGUCCUAGAAACACUGAAGGGUAAGGGGUGGGCAAGUUCUGGUGU